rnacentral:rRNA from 1 species
UACGGAGGGUGCAAGCGUUAUCCGGAUUCACUGGGUUUAAAGGGUGCGUAGGAGGGCAGGUAAGUCAGUGGUGAAAUCUCCGAGCUUAACUCGGAAACUGCCGUUGAUACUAUCUGUCUUGAAUCCCGUGGAGAUGAGCGGAAUAUGUCAUGUAGCGGUGAAAUGCUUAGAUAUGGCAUAGAACACCAAUUGCGAAGGCAGCUCGUUACACGAAGAUUGACUCUGAGGCACGAAAGCGUGGGGAUCAAACAGG